rnacentral:rRNA from 1 species
AGUGAACGCUGGCGGUAGGCCUAACACAUGCGAGUCGAACGGCAGCACAGUAAGAGCUUGCUCUUACGGGUGGCGAGUGGCGGACGGGUGAGGAAUACAUCGGAAUCUACUUUUUCGUGGGGGAUAACGUAGGGAAACUUACGCUAAUACCGCAUACGACCUACGGGUGAAAGCAGGGGAUCUUCGGACCUUGCGCGAUUGAAUGAGCCGAUGUCGGAUUAGCUAGUUGGCGGGGUAAAGGCCCACCAAGGCGACGAUCCGUAGCUGGUCUGAGAGGAUGAUCAGCCACACUGGAACUGAGACACGGUCCAGACUCCUACGGGAGGCAGCAGUGGGGAAUAUUGGACAAUGGGCGCAAGCCUGAUCCUGCCAUACCGCGUGGGUGAAGAAGGCCUUCGGGUUGUAAAGCCCUUUUGUUGGGAAAGAAAAGCAGCAGGUUAAUACCCCGCUGUUCUGACGGUACCCAAAGAAUAAGCACCGGCUAACUUCGUG